UUUGUGUUGAGCCAUACUCUCCAUUGACCAAAUGAGAGUAUCUAAUUCAGAAUGUAGCGGGACACUCGUCUCUAGUUGUUUCUCAAACCUAGAAUUUGUUCCUUCCCAGCUUCAUGCAUACAUAACCAUCCAUUACCACUGAAAUUUGAUUACGCCGUCCAGGAUCCAUCCACCAAACAAAUACUUUGUAAGCACAUGGCUUGAUCGUCAUGUGAUUUGGUAGUUUCUCAUUAUUAGUCCUUGAUUUUUCUUCGAACCAUGCAUUACAUUCACUCUGAGCAUGUCUAAUUAAUUCCAAAGUGUCCCGCUCUAUUCCUCUGAACAACUUAUCAGUCAUGGCCUUCCAUAAGUAACGGAUAAUCCACGGAUAUAGAUUUCUAUCCGAAACCGGGUCUUCUAUUUCAUUCUUUCUCCAGAAUUAAUAGUCCAGGUUUGUAUAAACACUCUAUGUGGGAAAAGUAUCUG
rnacentral:lncRNA from 1 species